rnacentral:rRNA from 1 species
UAGGGAAUCUUCGGCAAUGGACGAAAGUCUGACCGAGCAACGCCGCGUGAGUGAAGAAGGUUUUCGGAUCGUAAAACUCUGUUGUUAGAGAAGAACAAGGACGUUAGUAACUGAACGUCCCCUGACGGUAUCUAACCAGAAAGCCACGGCUAACUACGUGCCAGCAGCCGCGGUAAUACGUAGGUGGCAAGCGUUGUCCGGUUUUAUUGGGCGUAAAGCGAGCGCAGGCGGUUUCUUAAGUCUGAUGUGAAAGCCCCCGGCUCAUCCGGGGAGGGUCAUUGGAAACUGGGAGACUUGAGUGCAGAAGAGGAGAGUGAAAUUCCAUGUGUAGCGGUGAAAUGCGUAGAUAUAUGGAGGAACACCAGUGGCGAAGGCGGCUCUCUGGUCUGUAACUGACGCUGAGGCUCGAAAGCGUGGGGAGCAAACAGG